GACGAACGCUGGCGGCGUGCUUAACACAUGCAAGUCGAACGGAAAGGCCCUGCUUUUGUGGGGUGCUCGAGUGGCGAACGGGUGAGUAACACGUGAGUAACCUGCCCUUGACUUUGGGAUAACUUCAGGAAACUGGGGCUAAUACCGGAUAGGAGCUCCUGCUGCAUGGUGGGGGUUGGAAAGUUUCGGCGGUUGGGGAUGGACUCGCGGCUUAUCAGCUUGUUGGUGGGGUAGUGGCUUACCAAGGCUUUGACGGGUAGCCGGCCUGAGAGGGUGACCGGCCACAUUGGGACUGAGAUACGGCCCAGACUCCUACGGGAGGCAGCAGUGGGGAAUAUUGUACAAUGGGCGGAAGCCUGAUGCAGCAACGCCGCGUGCGGGAUGACGGCCUUCGGGUUGUAAACCGCUUUCGCCUGUGACGAAGCGUGAGUGACGGUAAUGGGUAAAGAAGCACCGGCUAACUACGUGCCAGCAGCCGCGGUGAUACGUAGGGUGCGAGCGUUGUCCGGAUUUAUUGGGCGUAAAGGGCUCGUAGGUGGUUGAUCGCGUCGGAAGUGUAAUCUUGGGGCUUAACCCUGAGCGUGCUUUCGAUACGGGUUGACUUGAGGAAGGUAGGGGAGAAUGGAAUUCCUGGUGGAGCGGUGGAAUGCGCAGAUAUCAGGAGGAACACCAGUGGCGAAGGCGGUUCUCUGGGCCUUUCCUGACGCUGAGGAGCGAAAGCGUGGGGAGCGAACAGGCUUAGAUACCCUGGUAGCCCACGCUGUAAACGGUGGGUACUAGGUGUGGGGUCCAUUCCACGGGUUCCGUGCCGUAGCUAACGCUUUAAGUACCCCGCCUGGGGAGUACGGCCGCAAGGCUAAAACUCAAAGGAAUUGACGGGGCCCCGCACAAGCGGCGGAGCAUGCGGAUUAAUUCGAUGCAACGCGUAGAACCUUACCUGGGUUUGACAUGGAUCGGGAGUGCUCAGAGAUGGGUGUGCCUCUUUUGGGGUCGGUUCACAGGUGGUGCAUGCCUGUCGUCAGCUCGUGUCGUGAGAUGUUGGGUUAAGUCCCGCAACGAGCGCAACCCUUGUUCACUGUUGCCAGCACGUUAUGGUGGGGACUCAGUGGAGACCGCCGGGGUCAACUCGGAGGAAGGUGGGGAUGACGUCAAGUCCUCAUGCCCCUUAUGUCCAGGGCUUCACGCAUGCUACAAUGGCUGGUACAGAGAGUGGCGAGCCUGUGAGGGUGAGCGAAUCUCGGAAAGCCGGUCUCAGUUCGGAUUGGGGUCUGCAACUCGACCUCAUGAAGUCGGAGUCGCUAGUAAUCGCAGAUCAGCAACGCUGCGGUGAAUACGUUCCCGGG
rnacentral:rRNA from 1 species